UACGGAGGUGGCAAGCGUUGUUCGGAAUUAUUGGGCGUAAAGGGCGCGUAGGCGGCUUUGCAAGUCAGAUGUGAAAGCCCCGGGCUUAACUCGGGAAUUGCAUCUGAAACUGUUUAGCUUGAGUCCUGGAGGGGGUAGUGGAAUUCCCAGUGUAGCGGUGAAAUGCGUAGAUAUUGGGAGGAACACCGGCGGCGAAGGCGGCUACCUGGACAGUGACUGACGCUGAGGCGCGAAAGCUAGGGGAGCGAACGGG
rnacentral:rRNA from 1 species